GGGUCUACUCAUUGGUCAGGCUUAAUUGUCUGUACUGGUGAGAUGGAUCUCUACCUUCUGAGGAACUUUCAUGCCAUUUAUUUGGUGUGAUGGGAAAUCAGGACUGUUACUUUGAAAAAAUUAGAGUGUUUAAAGCAGACUAUCGUCUGAAUACAUUAGCAUGGAAUAAUGAAAUAGGACGGACUGAUUCUAUUUCGUUGGUUUCUAGGAUCACCGUA
rnacentral:rRNA from 1 species